CUGAAGUGAUUUGGGGAUGUUGCUGGCCCCUCCCCAGGGGGCAAUGUGCACUCCCUGAACAAUUCACAAUCUCCAUCACACCCUUGUGCACAUUUUGUAGGCACCCUCUCUUGGUUGGGAUGUGGUGUCCUAUGUAUUCUAUCACCUCACACUUUGCUCUUGAACUCUUUGUCUGAAAAAUAUUAUGAAUAAAAUAAUUCAAAAUA
rnacentral:misc_RNA from 1 species